rnacentral:rRNA from 1 species
UGAAUAAAGUAUAGAUAACCUAUUAGGCGGACAGCUUGGCUUGAAUAGCGAAGAAGGACGUGACAAGCUACGAUAUGCUUUAGGUAGGCGCAUGUAGCCUUUGAUCUAAAGAUCUCCGAAUGGGACUUCCUAUCUUUGAUGUUCAGUAAUGAACGCGAACGCAGGGAAUUGAAACGUCUUAGUACCUGCAGGAAAAGAAAUCAAUAGAGAUGCUGUUAGCUAUCAGCGAGAGAAAACAGCAUAAGGCAAACUGAAUUCUUUAUAGCAAUAUAAAGAAGAUGUGGUGUUUUAGAGCUAAGUUAUUUCCUUGAUAAAUUCUUUAAAUUUUUCUGGAAAGAAAAGCCAUAGAGAGUGAUAGCCUCGUAAAAGUUUUUUGAGGGGAAAUUUUAGUUUCUAGAGUAGGGUUCAUUUAAUAUUGGGCCUGAAUUUGGGAGGCAUUAACUUCCAACCUUAAAUAUUAUUCAAGACCGAUAGCGUAAGAGUACAGUGAUGGAAAGCUGAAAAGAACCCAUAACAGGGAAUGAAAAGAACUCCAAACCUAAUAGGGAUAGAAAGGUGCGGCUGUUGAAGUUGCACCAUACGUUUCGAAUAACGGGCCAGGGAGUCUAUCUAAGUGGCAAGGAUAAUUUCGUAAAAGAAAGCAUCCAAAGAGAAAUCAAGAGCUCGCAGUUUACAAGGAGCAUGGUAUUAAUGUGCCAUAAGUCACUUGGGUACAACCCGAAACCAGGCGAUCUAACCGUGAACAGGAUGAAGCAAGGGUAAAACCUUGUGGAGGUCCGCAGAGGUUCUGUGUGCAAGCGUUCUUCUGAUUUGUGGUUAGGGGUAAAAAGCCAAUCGAGCCUGGUGAUAGCUGGUUCCCAUCGAAAUUGGCCGCAGUCAAGCCUCAGCAGAGAUGUUUAUAAUUGUAAAGCUACGGAUUAGGGGUUUAGGGGAAUAAAAUCCUCGAUUUCUAGUCCAACUCAGAAUAUUAUAAAAUCAAAGAAGCUGGGAGACGGCAGUGCGGGGUAAACUCGUAUUGCAAGAGGGAAACAUCCCAAACUGUGAUUAAGGUCCUUAAAUGCUGAUUAAGUGUUAAAGGGUGAAAGGUGUGUAUAAUCAUAGACAGCAGGGAGGUUUGCUUAGAGGCAGCAAUCCUUUAAAGAAAGCGUAAUAGCUCACCUGUCAAGAUUAUAUGCCCUGAAAAUGGACGGGGCUAAAUUAGCUACCGAUAUCACAGACUAAGUCAAUUAGUAGUAGAUGGGCGUGAUUAUAGAGCAAAAGCCAUUUCAUAAGAAUUGGUGAAUCCAUAAUCAAUGAGAAUCCUGGCGGUAGUAAGAUCUAUACAGAGUGAGAAACUCUGAUACCGAAAGGGCAAGGGUUUCUUAGCAAUAUUAUUUAGCUAAGAGUAAGUCGAUCCUAACUUAACUCCUAAUAGGAGCUAGGGAAAGGGAAAAAGGUUAAUAUUCCUUUACCUUUUAAGUACAAAUGGCAACAAAAGUCUGAUUUUUGACGGUUUUGGUUAGGCUGACAUCCGCUAUCAUGGAUGUUAAUCUGAAAAAAUCAAGGGAGUAUCUUAAUGAUGAGAACUUGAUUAAAGCAGAGAAUAGCUGUUCUUUGGACAGUUCAACUGACACCCGGAUCCAGUGAAAAGAAAAUCAGGAUGAAACUUAAAAGUUCGUACCAAGAACCAACACUGGUGCCCCUAGGUGAGAAGCCUAAGGUAUGAGGGAGAAAUCUAACUGAGGGAAUUCGACACAUUAGUCUCGUAUCCUCGGUAUAAGGGAUCCCUGGAUUUGUGUUGUAAAAAUGCAAAUUCAGGGCACAGUAACAAAGGGAGCCCGACUGUUUAACAAAAACUUAGCCUUUCGCAAGUCUGAAAAGAUAAGUACGGAAGGUGACGUCUGCCCAGUGCCAGUACCUCAAACUUCACUUCAAUGGAGCUAAGGGCUGGUAAACGGCGGGAAUAACUAUAAUUCUCUUAAGGUAAACAGUUGCCUUAGUAAAAUUUGGCUAUAUGCUGGAAAGUCCGAGAAUCUUACACUACCAUAAAUUUGUUAAGGAAAUUUAUACCUUAAUUAUGGUGAAAAUGUGAUAAGUGCGGAUAAUCAGCAGGAAAGACUAAAUGUCAGCUAGAAAAGUUAAAAGACAUUUAGAAUCCUCAGAGACUAUACGCCAAAACUUCAAGAAAAGAAGUAAGAUAUAGUCCGACCCAAUAUGCGAAUAUUGGAAGUAUGUAGAAAUGCAUACUCGCCUUGAAAAAGGUCAUUACCUCCUAAAAGAGGGAAGUAACAGAUGUGAGCGAAAUGCCUUGUCGUUUGAUUGACGACGUGCAUGAAUGACGUAACGAGGUUCCCAUUGUCCCCAGUUAGGGUCCCCCGAAUACACUAUUCUGGUGCAGAGGCCAGAGACUUCCAGCGGGAAGUAAAGACCCCGUGAAACUUUACUGUAGCCUGUUGUUGUGAAGUGAAUUCUAUUGUCAAGCGUAGGUAGGAGUUACGACGUCAAUGUUACACUACCCUUUAGGAUUUACUCCACUUACUAGUUUAACUAGGACACCUACAGGCAGACAGUUCGGCUGGGGCGGCACCCUGCUGAAAAAAUAUCAGUAGGGCCCAAAGAUCAACUCAAGAAGGUCAGAAAUCUUCUGUAGAGCGCAAGAGCAAAAGUUGGUUUAAUUGUAUUCUAAACAUUACAGAACGCAAGUAGGAAACUAGGGUCUAGCGAACCCCUAUGUCCUCCUUAAUGGGGGCUAGGUAUGACAGAAAAGCUACUCCGGGGAUAACAGAGUCGUCGCGCCUGAGAGCUCAAAUCGACGGCGCGGUUUGCUACAUCGAUGUCGGCUCACCGCAACCUGGUUGUGCAGAAGCAGCCAAGGGUGGGGGUGUUCACCCAUUAAAGCGGCUCGUGAGCUGGGUUCAGAACGUUGUGAAACAGUUUGUUCAAUAUCUACUGGAAGUGUAUAAUGUCUGAUGGGAAGGACCAUUUAGUACGAGAGGAACAAUGGUUCGGGGCCUCUGGUGCAUGGGUUGUCUGAUAAGGCAGGCCCAGCAGCUACGCCCUAUGGGAUAAAUCCUGAAAGCAUCUAAGGAUGAAACCCUCCUAGAAAAGAGACAUUGCUUAAGAGCACUCACAAAAGAUGAGAUUGAUAGGAUUGUGGUGUAAGCAUCAAGGCAACGAGAUGUUCAGCCAGCAAUUACUAAUAGCUCUUUUACUUUAUUCA